UACAGAGGUGGCAAGCGUUGUUCGGAAUUACUGGGCGUAAAGGGCGUGUAGGCGGUCUUCUAAGUCAGACGUGAAAUCCCCCGGCUUAACCUGGGAACUGCGUCUGAUACUGGGAGGCUUGAGUAUGGGAGAGGGAUGUAGAAUUCCAGGUGUAGCGGUGAAAUGCGUAGAUAUCUGGAGGAAUACCGGUGGCGAAGGCGGCAUCCUGGACCAUUACUGACGCUUAGGCGCGAAAGCUAGGGGAGCGAACCGG
rnacentral:rRNA from 1 species